UUUUGUUAAUAAUUGUCUUUACAAACCUUAGUUAUCAUUGACCUAAUUUCUUGUUCUUGGGUCCUUUUUGGCUUUGGAAUUAUUUGCAGUGGCAUUACUUUCUGCCCUUUUGUAGUUAUCUCUGGAUCAGUACUCCCACAAAGAUACAAGAACAGUCCAACGCUAUUUGGAAGUAAGCAGGCGAAGGAGCUGGAGAUUUGGACCGAGAAUGGGCAAGUACUGAGAGAACAAUACCUGCUGUUACAGUAUGUUGAUGAUACACUGAGAGCUACAGAAGAGAAAACAACCUGCAUAAAGAACUCCACAACCUACAUGAGCUACAAGUUUUCCUUGAGAUGACAGAGUGGUGCUGUGGAUCAUGGACUAUGGACUAAUCGCAAAGCCCCUGCAUGAAGCCCAGACAACGCAGCCAUUUACCUGGGGCAAACCACAGAAGGAGGCCUUCCUCAAACUAAAGGAGGCAUUGAUAACUUCUCCAGCGUUAAGACUGCCUGAUUCAUCCAAGGAUUUUCACCUGUUUGUGCGUGGAAGACUACGUCUACCACUGGGAGUGCUGACCCAACGUUUGGGAAGCUGGAAAAGGCCGGUGGGCUGCUUUUCCAAACAAUGUGAGUGCCGGAUGGCCUUCAUGCCUGCGGGCAGUUGAACAGCCACCGUGAUGCUGUUACAAGAAGCUAGAAAACUCAUGAUGAGUAGACACAUAAAUGUCUACAUGCCACAUAUGGUAAUCACUGUUUUAGAACAAAAGGGGGGCCAUUGGCUAUCUCCAAGCAAGAUGAUAAAAUUCCAGAUAAUCCUGACUGGGCAGGAUGAUGUCACACUAAAGACAACUAACCUCUUGAAUCUAGCUUUGUUCCUAGGUACCACAACUGAAGAAGGCCCAUUAGAGCAUGACUGUGUAGAAGUAAUAGAGUACACCUUUUCGGCAAGAGAAGACCUGAAAGACAUCGCACUAGAGCAACCAGAGUAGGAGCUAUUCACAGAUGGAAGCAGCUUGGUGGAGAAUGGGACCAGAUACGCUGGAUGUGUGGUAACAACAGUCAGUACAAUAAUGGAGGCAAAAGCAUUAUCACCAAAUACAUCUGCCCAGAGGGCAGAACUGAUUGCCUUAACCAGAACACUAGAAUUAAGUAAAGGGAAAUCGAAAAGCAGACUGGACAACCCGACAGAUUGCUCAAGAAGUGCAAACAACAAUGGCAUUGAUACCUUUAAAGACUAAUGUAUCUCAAUUUAAUUUGCCUCCAAAACUGAAAUAUUCAGUAGAAGAUGAGAAAUUGGGACAUUUGCUAAAUGCACAAAAGAAUUCCGAAUCGUGGUAUGUAACUGCACAAAGACAAAUAGUGUUAAGCUCCUUGAUAAUGAGAGAAGUUCUACAAAUUAAACAUAACAAAUGUCAUUGGGGUGCAGAGGCAUUGGUAAAAUCGCUAAAGCAAAAAUUAAUCUCCGUACGGAUGCUAACAAUGGCAAAAUCAACUCAGUGGCUAGACACGGGCACAGCUAGGAAGGAUUAAGAUAGGAAUAGAAUCAAGAUAACACUUGGCAAGAACCUUUUAGUAGAGUGAAAUUUGGGUGGACCCUGGAGUCUUUGCUUGGUCCUACAUCAAACUAUCAGAAUAAAGAAAUAUUGUACAAACUUACAGGUCAGGAAGAUAAAUUAGCAAGAGUCACCCAGGAAAGAUUUAAAGAACUAAAUGUACAAUUAUAAUUUUAUUACUCCUGAAAGAACAUGGAGUGUGUGGUUUUUUUAAGGGAUAGAUUGAUCAUUGCUGUGUCCACAUCCCAAAUGUAACUGCAGAUGUAGAAUAUAUCAAUCAGUUGCAACAAUAGAGCAUGGAGGACAGGGAGAGCAAAAGGGUUUGACUAUAAAUUGGUUAGGCAAAAUCUUCAAAGGGUUAGGGUGGAAUAUGAGUUCAUGGAUUACAUCUAUCAUUGAGAGUGUGAUAAUCUUACUAAUUGUAUUCUUAGCAAUCUGGUGGGUUUGAUUUUUGUCUUUGAAAAUUUUGCAUGAGAUGCAGCAAAUGGAAUUUGGGUACGUGUCUUGGGACAAUGAAAGGUGCUUUCCUUGAUACCUGGAAUUUGGAACUGGGAGAUGCUGGCAAGGCUACGCUUUAGAGCGUAGCCUGUCCGAUUUGAGAUCUGUCAGACUUCUGAUAAUUUAAGAGUCAACAUUUUGGUAGGAGGAAGUUGAUUCAAGGUCUGUAGUUGUAGUACAGCAGUGAUGUAGGAUUUCAGAGUUGCUAGAAGCAGGAAGAGACUAUGCUUUUCAGGAUGGUAGUGGUGGUGUGAAGGGGGAUAUGAAACUUGGGAGAAGGAAUAGACCAUUUUAAGGCUGGUUCUUGAUCCUUUGAGGUGUUAGGAAAUGUAUAGCUUUGGCAUUCUUUUAUAGAUUGAGGCAUUCUUUUCCUGCAGAACACACCCUUAAGAGGAGAAAAAGCUCAACCAUUCGCUUGACCGCCAUGACUAAGGCACUCUCUCCAGCCAAACCGAACCUCAGGCUGUUCUGCUGUACUCGAGAGAAAGCCUUUACUUCUGAAGUGCUAAAAGGCACUUUGUUACUGUGACUGAAGUUGGUGCAAAAGCUGGUCAUGGUUAGAGCAGUCUUUACUAUUAUCAAAUUAAUUCCCAAUAUUGUAGCCUAAACCAGUAUUUUCUAUUCAGUGAGUUUGGGUUUAUAUGUCAAAUGACUACACAUCUGUGCAGGCCAAAUAUUAGGUGGCUAUCUCUGCUGAGUGAAGUUCAGGUAGAACAACUUUAGGCCUUACUUAAGCGUAAGUACAGAGAUUAUCAAAGACUUCUUCCCUUUCAUAAUUACCUUUUACUGUAUAUUACAAGUGGAAUACCAUUCAGUCUCAGCUAAGAUGUGUGGAAUUAAGUGGCAAUUUUAGCACUUCUAUGAAGACAAAGAAGAUUUCACCCUUCAGAGAACAAGCAUUUUCCACAGCUAGUUUUAUUUUCAAUUACACCAUAAUCAUAAUCAAGUACUGACAAUUAGUGUCUUGAAAACUACAAAAGCAGGAUUUCAGCCCAGCAACAAAUUCAGAAUCAACUCUAUGUUCAAUUACAAGUCACUGUGCAAUGGAGACCUUCUCUAGAAUGUUUUAUGCUAGCAAGAUUCACUGUACGUACUCAAGGUAUGCUGUAUUUCAAGCAUUAGUGGAAUUUUGUCUAAGGGACUCAUCAAUAAAUGAAGACAUAUAUAUUUAAAAGGACCAUAAUCAUGGCUUCACUGGUAUCAAUUACUGUGAGAAGAAGCAGCUGUUUCUCAGUGUAGAAAACUGAUGCCAAA